UGGGGAAUUUCGGACAAUGGGCGAAAGCCUGAUCCAGCCAUGCCGCGUGUGUGAAGAAGGUCUUCGGAUUGUAAAGCACUUUAAGUUGGGAGGAAGGGCAGUAAGCGAAUACCUUGCUGUUUUGACGUUACCGACAGAAUAAGCACCGGCUACCUCUGUGCCAGCAGCCGCGGUAAUACAGAGGGUGCAAGCGUUACUCGGAAUUACUGGGCGUAAAGCGCGCGUAGGUGGUUCGUUAAGUUGAAUGUGAAAGCCCCGGGGUCAACCUGGGAACUGCAACCAAAACUGGCGAGCUAGGAGAGGGCAGAGGGUGGUGGAAUUUCCUGUGUAGCGGUGAAAUGCGUAGAUAUAGGAGGGAACACCAGUGGCGGAGGCGACCACCUGGGCUCAUACUGACACUGAGGUGCGAAAGCGUGGGGAGCAAACAGG
rnacentral:rRNA from 1 species